CGAAAUAAAACAUGGAUACUAUUUAAAAGUAGUGAUCACAUAACCCUAGCCACAUAUGCGAUGAAUCCAGCCCUUUAUUCUUCUGCAAAUCGUUUCUUUCUGAAUAUGGUUUUCGUCAUCGUCAUCAGUUUUUGAUGAUGACGAUUCACCAUUGUUAUGGCUGUAUACACUAUGUACAUUGUCGUCAUAUGUACCGUCACUUCAAUCGUUUUCGUAAUUUAGGGUUUUCAUCUCUGAAACCCUAGGGUCUUACACAUGAUAUUAUUUUGUUCGAUUUGGGUGCUUGAUGUUUGAUUAACAGUUUAUUUGAUGAUCAUUGUGAAAGAUAACGACCGAAGCUUUUCGGAUUUUAGGGUUUUAGUCAACUGAAACCCAAGGUUCUGAUACACUGUGAAUAUUUGAUCGACUGGGGUGAUUCAUGUUCGUUUAAUAAUGUUUGGAUCUGUAAUUAGGCAUAUGAAGGGGAACCUUGAUAUGAUGUACAGAAGUUAGGGCUUAUCCUUUAGUGUUUGAAACAACUCACGAAACUAUUGUGCAUCUUCUAACCCAUGUUCUUAAUCAUAUGUCACAUUUGAAGAGGUAAGGGGCUAGCUUCAGGAUGUUGAAGAAGGGAAUGAGCAAAUUAGGUCAGUUUUGUUAAUAACUAAUCUACCUGGUUUUAGUUAACAAUAUGUAUUCAUUUGUUGUUUUCCUUUGUAUUUUUUGUUUAAAAAAGGCGGUUAACAUAUGAGGGAUUUUUGUAAAUAUCUUAAUAAGAGAAUUCAAAAUGGCUAUGAAAUCUGUAAUGAAGGUUUAACACAUGAGAGGUUUUUGUAAGAGAAUUAAAAAAUGACUAUGAAGGUCUACUAACCUGUAAUGAAGGUGUUAACACAUGGGAGGUUUUUGUAAGAUAAUUUAAAAUGGAUAUGAAGGUGUUUACAAAUAAGAGGCUUUUGUAAGAAAAAUCAAAAUUACUUCACUUGAGGUUGUAUUUUCUGUGUGGUACCUUCAGGACACUACUAUAUCUUUUUAUUAUUUUUUCAAGUCUUUCAUGUGUUAUCCCAUUUUAUUUACACCACUUGAAAAGAGAAUUUUUCAACAUUAAGAACAUGAAAAUAAUCAUAAUACUUACUUUUUUUUAAUAACUGAAACAACCUAUUUACAGAGCACAAACUAAGAGUUAAGUAAAAAAUGUUGGACUCACUAAUUUAAGGAACCAAAAAAUAGGAAGUAAAACUUGUGUAAAAUGUAUAAAAGACAAACUAUAUUUUAUUAAAAACCAUUUAUACAAACACAUUUCCCUUUUUAAAAAAAUAUGAAACAUGUGUAAAAUGUACAGAAGACAUUAUAUGUUUUGAAAACCACUAAAAAAACCGAUUAAUAUUUUUAAAACAAAACAAUAUGUAAACUUGUGUAAACAUUUAAAAACCGAAAUUACCAUAUUUAAAGAAACAUUAUCCAAAUCUUUUCUAAGUUUUUUUAAGGUUAACAAAUUACAAAUACACCAUUUGCCAUUCGAUCUGAUCUGAUCCUGUUUAAAUAAAAAACAGAAAAUAUGAAUCUUUAAUUACAUGUUUAAAGAUCAAAUGGUAAACUGAAAAAAAGAAAGUGCACAAACUUGAGUUCACCUUCGAGUUAUCAUGUUCGGCCUCAUCUUCUAAACCUGUUUAAAUUAAGAACAGAAAAUUUGAACUUUUAAUUACAACUUUAAAGAUGAGAUUGUAAUUUAAAAUAAAGAAAAUAAAGUGACUUGAGCCCGCCUUCAGUUUAUCAUGCUUCGACAUCAUCUUAUAAUCCUGUUUACAUAAAAGCAGAAAUUUGAACAUUUUAAAUACAUGUUUAAAGAUGAGAUUGUAAACUAAGUACUUGUACAAUGAAUGAAUGAAAGUACAUGAAUACAAGUUCACAUUCACCAUGCUUCACCAUCAUCUUCGUGUCCUUUUUAUGUUAAGAGUUUCAAAGCUGAAAGUGUAAUAUGAUGGAAAGAAUACCUUGGCCAACUGAUUUGUGUUUUUUUAUGAUGGUCUUCCAUUUAGACAGCAGAGGUCACAGUGUAAGUCGGAUGUCAACGGACUGGUAAAUGAGUUGCAGGUCUCAGCAUUCUCAUCAGUUGCAAGGCCUUUUUUGGCUCAACCUGGAAACCGCAAGAUCGUGGGUGAGAGAGGGCUGAACUGCCGUGAACUGCUGCUUCUAGAAGGAAUUUAGAGACUUUAAACGGCUGAGAUUAAAAGUUGAUGACUUUCUACGGCUGUAAUUAGCCCAAAUAGCAGUUACAAACAACGGGAACAAUAUAAUAUAGAAUUAUACAUAACCAUAUUCC